CUAGUACUCCCUCUGUCCAGAAAUACUUAUCGAAAAAAUGGAUGUAUCUAGACGUAUUUUGGUUCUAGAUAUAUCCAUUUGUAUCCAUUUCUGCGACAAGUAAUUCCGGACAGAGGGAGUAUAUC
rfam:Triticum aestivum genome assembly, contig: Triticum_aestivum_CS42_TGACv1_scaffold_603398_7DL